rnacentral:lncRNA from 1 species
GAAGGAAAUAUUAGCAAAAGACCUAUACAGAAAUGCAAGUGGCCCUUAAAUAGGAAGAGAUGCUCAAUCGGACUCUAUUUUGAGUAGAUACUCACAAGUGAGAUAUCAUUUUUCACUCAUUAGAUAGGCAAAAAUCCAGAAGUUGACAACAUAUGCUAUUGCCAGAAAGCAAAUAAGUAGUCAAAGAUUAAUGGAAGUGUGUUAAAAGAACACAGGAACCAGCUUGGAGGGGCUCCCACUGGUGAAAAUUGAGACUUUAGCAAGAGAAGAAUCAUUGUAAUUUAUGGUUGAAAAAAAGUUGAAUUAGUAAAAGUCCAUGAGGCCUGUUGGAUGCACACAAAAAUGGGUGCAUUUUUGACAUUGGCUAUUCUGAAAACGAUGUGUGGUGCAGGGCCAUGGUUUUUGGGCUAAUCAAGUAAUCACUAAGCCAAAUAAAAAAUUAAGAUGGACCAACCAAAAUUGAGAGAAGCCCCCGCAAGUCUCCAACGUGUACAGUAUACAAACAAGAAAUAAAGAAUAAUGCAUUUGUUGGAAACGUUCCCAUCAAUGUCAGUUAGGUAAAGAGCAUAUUUCAAAUCUGUUUUCAGAAUAUGAACCAAAGCAUAUUCAAAAGGCACAUUUUGGAAGAAAAUGUUAUGCCUUUGUGAUAUUUGCAAAUUCUGGAUAAAUGAGAGCCAUAAGUGACUCAUGCGCAUCAGAAAUGUACAUAUAGGAUUUAUGAAGGCCAAAGCCUGAUUUUGAAUAUGGCACGUUUCCCACAGAAAUUAUCUGCAUGCAAAAUGACGGGAUCUGAGGAAGAGAAGAUCAUUUAACUGCAAAAUCAUUUAACAGUGAGUGACAUUGAUGUAGCGUAACUUCAGGAAUAGUCUGGACCCCCAAGCAUACCAUAAAUGUGGAGCACUAGAGGCUUCAGAUGAAAGAACUUGGAUAAUUGCUCCCCUGCUCCAUAAAUAGUAGAAAACACUUGAAAAGAACCCAAGUUAAUUAUCUAGAGUUGUACUUAUAUAUCCUUUUUAUUUGUCCCCCAGGACUUUCAAGCAGCUCUAUAGACCACCUCACUGUCCCCAAGGCAGCCAUUAAUGAGAAGAGAGGACAUCUAGAGGGCUCUUUAACUCAGGCACAAAGCACAUCAGGAAAAAUCCAUUGAUGGGCAGUCACAGCAAAAGUUUCCGGGG